ensembl:lncRNA
ACUCCUUGAAGCAGCUCCGAGCCCUGCUUCCUUUCGUAGACGCAGGAGGUGUGGAGACUUGGACAACACUUUGGCCAACCUGCGCAGUAACACCUCCUCCCUCUCUUCUCCAUUUCGGUUCAGUUCAGGGUGGCGGCGGUUAACAUCUUGGCCCCAAAUUCUAGGUUAAAGGCGGAUCCCGCCCGGCGAGCACCGGCCCCAGGAAACGCGUCUGGCGCCCGCGAGAAGACAAAGGCGCUCGCAGUGGAAUCAGGGCGGAAGUGGGAAGUGACCCGAAACUCAAGGCCCCAAGAAGCAGUCUGAGCACAGUCUGGACGCUGCUGAACCAAGCGGGAAACAGUUCUGGCAACUCUUCAAGAACAAAAGGUCAUGGUGAAUCUAAAUAUUUCUUCUAAGGCUGGAGACUCACAUAUUGUUUGAUUUCUUGGUGUACUGAACCAAAGUCAUGGACCCAGGAUAAGGAAGAGAGUGAAUUUAGAGACGAAGUAAGGAAGGACAAACAAUACAUGUUAAUAGUUUCAUAAGAAUACGUCUCAUACCUACACUGGCCCAAUAUAUUAUGAUAGAACCCAAGCAAGACCAUUUGGAAUAAAAAGUUUCUCAAAAACCACUGUCAAGGGACUUCCCUGGUGGUCCAGUGGUUAAGAAACCACCUUCCAAUGCAGGGGACAUGGAUUCAAUCCCUGUUCUGGGGACUACGAUUUCACAUGCUGAGGGGCAACUAAACCUGUGUGGCUGCAACUACUGAGUCCAUGGGCCGCAACUAGAGAGCCCAUGUGGCAGCUGUGAGCCCAUGUGGCAGCUGUGGAGCUCACGUGCUCUGGAUCGCAACUAGAGAGCCCACGUGCCACAGCUGUGGAGCUCACGUGCUCUGGACUGCACACCAAAGCUAGGGAGAAGACCACAUGCCACAACCAAGACCUGAUGCAGUUGUAAAUAAACAAAUAAAGAAACCAAGAUCCAGAAAUUCUAUCAAAAUGCACUUCUGAAGGCUGCUGGAGUGCAAAGCUUCCAGAACACACUGAUGAAAAAGGCUGUAAGUUGUGAA